CACGUAGGGGACGAGCGUUGUCCGGAUUCAUUGGGCGUAAAGAGCUCGUAGGCGGUUUGUCGCGUCGGCCGUGAAAUCUCCACGCUUAACGUGGAGCGUGCGGUCGAUACGGGCAGACUUGAGUUCGGUAGGGGAGACUGGAAUUCCUGGUGUAGCGGUGAAAUGCGCAGAUAUCAGGAAGAACACCAAUGGCGAAGGCAGCUCUCUGGGACGGUACUGACGCUGAGACGCGAAAGCGUGGGGAGCAACAGG
rnacentral:rRNA from 1 species